rnacentral:rRNA from 1 species
CUACCCGGGUAUCUAAUCCUGUUCGCUCCCCACACUUUCGCUCCUCAGCGUCAGAACAUUCCCAGAGAACCGCCUUCGCCACCGGUGUUCCUCCUGAUAUCUGCGCAUUUCACCGCUACACCAGGAAUUCCGUUCUCCCCUGAAUGCCUCAAGUCUGCCCGUAUCGAAAGCAAGCACUCGGUUAAGCCCAGUGAUUUCACUCCCGACGCGACAAACCGCCUACGAGCCCUUUACGCCCAAUAAUUCCGGACAACGCUCGCACCCUACGUAUUACCGCGGCUGCUGGCAC